GAUGAACGCUGGCGGCGUGCCUAAUACAUGCAAGUCGAGCGAAUGGAUUGAGAGCUUGCUCUUAUGAAGUUAGCGGCGGACGGGUGAGUAACACGUGGGUAACCUGCCCAUAAGACUGGGAUAACUCCGGGAAACCGGGGCUAAUACCGGAUAACAUUUUGAACCGCAUGGUUCGAAAUUGAAUGGCGGCUUCGGCUGUCACUUAUGGAUGGACCCGCGUCGCAUUAGCUAGUUGGUGAGGUAACGGCUCACCAAGGCAACGAUGCGUAGCCGACCUGAGAGGGUGAUCGGCCACACUGGGACUGAGACACGGCCCAGACUCCUACGGGAGGCAGCAGUAGGGAAUCUUCCGCAAUGGACGAAAGUCUGACGGAGCAACGCCGCGUGAGUGAUGAAGGCUUUCGGGUCGUAAAACUCUGUUGUUAGGGAAGAACAAGUGCUAGUUGAAUAAGCUGGCACCUUGACGGUACCUAACCGGAAAGCCACGGCUAACUACGUGCCAGCCGCCGCAGUAA
rnacentral:rRNA from 1 species